CCUACGGGUGGCAGCAGUGGGGAAUAUUGCACAAUGGGGGAAACCCUGAUGCAGCGACGCCGCGUGAGUGAAGAAGGAUUUCGGGAUGGAAAGCUCUAGCAGCAGGGAAGAAAAUGACGGUACCUGAUGAAGAAGCCCCGGCUAACUACGGGCCAGCAGCCGCGGUAAUACGUAGGGGGCACUCGUUAUCCGGAUUUACUGGGUGUAAAGGGAGCGUAGACGGCAGCACAAGGCUGGAGUGAAAUGCCGGGGCUUAACCCCGGAACUGCUUUGGAAACUGUGCAGCUAGAGUGCAGGAGAGGUAAGUGGCAUUCCUAUUGUAGCGGUUAAAUGCGUAGCUAUUAGGCGGAACCCCAGUGGCGACGGCGGCUUACUGGACUGUAACUGACGUUGAGGCUCG
rnacentral:rRNA from 1 species